AUUACUCUGCCCAAGAAUAUGGAAGUGUAUUGCAGAAAGGCACUAUGCAAAUAAUGUUCACAGAAUUUAUAAUUUCCUGUUGGAACAACGUAGAAAAUAAGGUCAUCGAUUUAAACCAGAGAAUACAAAUGAUUUUCUGCCCACAAAGCUGCCAAAUGCUUGGAGAUUUUUUCCCCUUCCUGCUGCUAACCAAACACUCUGAUUCUUUCAUGGGCAUCAUCGGUUUCUUGACUAAGUAAACAUUACCCACUAAGCUAAACAUUUUAAGAAUAAUCGAAAAUUUGGGUGGCUAUAGUAACAAAAUGUUUAUAUUCUGAAAUAAGAAUUAAAAAAAAUAAAUAAAAGGGAAAGGAAAAACAAUUUCUGAAAUUAAUUAUCUUUUAUGUAGAUUCAAGUUUCUUGGAUUUAUGUUAGCAUCCAAAAGAGAGAAAGGAGCAAAUUGAAAGAAGACUGAAAAAGCAAACCAGCAAACAACAACAAAAACAACCAAAAACCCUCCACUUUCCUAAAGAAGCCAAAAAAGGGAGAGUACAAGGAAUAACCCACCAUUUCACAUGUGACCCAGGAAGACUUCCACUUCUCUGUUAACUCUCUGAGUCCUGCUUACCUUCAGUGUCAGGCUUGAAGACUACCUACUCCACCAGAUCUUAUUAUUUUCAAAGCAUUAGAUGAACAUUGCCCUUAUUAUGAAAGCUGUUAAGGUGAGAAGCCUCAAGAGAUCUCUUUGUUCAACUGCCUCAUUCUCAGCAGCUGGAACAGAUUCCCUGAGAACGGACUCCAGCUGGGUUUUGAAGAUCUCCAGAGGGAAAUCCACAGCCUCUGAAAACUUGUUUCAGAGGUCAACCAUUCUCACAGCAAAAAGGACUUUGCCUCUAUUUAAAUAGAAUUUCCUGCACUUCUACCGGUGCCCAUUGUCUCUUGUCCUGUCCUAAAGCACCACAUCCGGCUCCACCUUACUUACUCUUCUCCACAGGUAUUUGUAUACACAGGUAAGAUCCCCCCAAGCCAUCUCUUCUCCAGGGUGACAAUCAUAGCUCUUAGUCUCAUUGACAGCUGUUACAAUCCUUAAAUAAUAAUUUUGAGCAUGUUAAAUAAUUUCUUUUAAAUUGGCUUGAAAAUUUCCGUAGAUCCUUUUCUGUUUGUUUGCUUGGCUAAAAUACUCAUCUUCCUUAUGGCCUUUGUUGGAUUAUGUUCGAUUCUUACUCUCUUGUUUGAUUUUAAUUGCUCCUGGCAUGCAGUCAUCACUCUGAAGGAAACUAUGAAGAAGUCAAGCUGCUGAGGGCAAGGACCUACUUACAACUGAAGAACAACAAUAAAGCAGUGUUUAGCAGUUACAUCACUUGCACCUAGCUGAGUUCGAUUUGAUGAGUACAAAGGGGCUGUAUAUACCCAUGUGUUUUACAAACAGUAGUCUGUCUAAUGGAGAGUAAGCAGGCCAUCACAUUCUUUUUCAGGCAUGCUUCUCCACUUAUAAUAAAACUUUGGCCAACUCACGAGCCUACCAUUUCACUCUAGCUUGGGCAGAUGUGUUACACUGCAGAGGGACUAUGAGUCAUUUUGGUUCAUGUUCCACACAGAAACAAGGAUGUAUCUUUCACACCAGUUCUUUUCCACUAUUUUCCUGCAUCUUAUCCACUUGUCAAAGCAAAAAAAGUUUUCUGGAAAGAAUCAACUCAGUUAAGUUCUCUGUGUUUAUGGGAAUAAAAAUAUAAUCUCUUGAAGUAA